rnacentral:misc_RNA from 1 species
GAUGAAGAACGUAGUGAAAUGCGAUACGUAAUGUGAAUUGCAGAAUUCAGUGAAUCAUCGAAUCUUUGAACGCAUAUUGCGCCUUCUGGUAUUCCGGAGGGCAUGCUUGUUUGAGUAUCAGUAACAACCUCAACUCUUCUUCAUUGCGGAGAAAGAGUUGGAUUUGAGCAUUUCCACAAGUUCGUCUUGGAGGAUUGCUUGAAAUAUGAGGUUCGGCCGGCAGUUGCCUGGGCUACAAGCAUUUCAUACUUAAUCCCGUCAAACGGAUUAUAUCCUUUGCUGCAGCCAACAUACAGGGUAACUUUGCCAGUGUUCCGACUGAUGCAGGAAAGUUGAGAACAGCUUUUUGCUUUCUCUUCUAAACUCGAUCUCAAAUCAAGUAAGACUACCCGCUGAACUUAAGCAUAUCAAUAAGCGGAGGA